rnacentral:rRNA from 1 species
CAAUAGCGUAUAUUUAAGUUGUUGCAGUUAAAAAGCUCGUAGUUGGAUUUCGGGUGGGACGCAGCGGUCUCGCAUUGCGUUUGUACUGCUGCAGCCCUCCUUCUUGCCGGGGGCGGCCUCUCGGACUUCACUGUCUGGGGGUCAGAAUCGGCGAUGUUACUUUGAGUAAAUUAGAGUGUUCAAAGCAAGCUUACGCUCUGAAUAUAAUAGCAUGGGAUAACACGACAGGACUCUGGCCUAUCGUGUUGGUCUAUAGGACCAGAGUAAUGAUUAAGAGGGACAGUCGGGGGCAUUCGUAUUCCAUUGUCAGAGGUGAAAUUCUUAGAUUUAUGGAAGACGAACAUCUGCGAAAGCAUUUGCCAAGGAUGUUUNCAUUGA